rnacentral:misc_RNA from 1 species
UCCGAGUUGACCCCGGCAGUCUCCUUAGAGUUCCCACCAUUACGUGCUGGCAACUAAGGACAAGGGUUGCGCUCGUUGCGGGACUUAACCCAACAUCUCACGACACGAGCUGACGACAGCCAUGCAGCACCUGUGUUCUGGUUCCCGAAGGCACUCCCGCAUCUCUGCAGGAUUCCAGACAUGUCAAGACCAGGUAAGGUUCUGCGCGUUGCAUCGAAUUAAACCACAUGCUCCAUCGCUUGUGCAGGCCCCCGUCAAUUUUUUUGAGUUUUAACCUUGCGGCCGUACUCCCCAGGCGGAUGACUUAACGCGUUAGCUGCGCCACCGAAACGCUAAGCGCCCCGACAGCUAGUCAUCAUCGUUUACGGCGUGGACUAC